CCUACGUGAGACAGCAGUGGGGAAUAUUGGACAAUGGGGGGAACCCUGAUCCAGCGACGCCGCGUGAGUGAAGAAGUAUUUCGGUAUGUAAAGCUCUAUCAGCAGGGAAGAAAGAAAUGACGGUACCUGACUAAGAAGCCCCGGCUAACUACGUGCCAGCAGCCGCGGUAAUACGUAGGGGGCAAGCGUUAUCCGGAUUUACUGGGUGUAAAGGGAGCGUAGACGGCGAUGCAAGUCUGAAGUGAAAGGCGGGGGCCCAACCCCUGGACUGCUUUGGAAACUGUAUGGCUGGAGUGCAGGAGAGGUAAGUGGAAUUCCUAGUGUAGCGGUGAAAUGCGUAGAUAUUAGGAGGAACACCAGUGGCGAAGGCGGCUUACUGGACUGUAACUGACGUUGAGGCUCGAAAGCGUGGGGAGCAAACAGGAUUAGAUACCCCGGUAGUC
rnacentral:rRNA from 1 species